CAGCCCCUUUUUCAAUGUUGGAUGGCAAUUCUGAACUGCAAAUCCUGCAUCUUUCAUUGUGUUUCUGACCAGGUUUGUGAUUUUAUUCUUGAUCAUUGUGUGGUUGAAUCUGCAACCCGAAUGAUAGUUUCUCUUUUUGCUUGUUAGUGCUCCUAUUCAAUUUUAAGAUGUUCUUAGGUCUCUCAUCUGUCUGUUAUUAUAUCAAUAUUACUUUUUCUUGAAGUGAGUAGAGUGUAAAGCUCAAAUUGGGAAGCCAUUAGGUAGUAUAGUAUGCUAGACAAAUUGCCGUCUUUGUGUAGGCGUAAUUUUCCAAUGGGGUUCUGGUUAAGCAAUGGGCAAUGGCUACUGGGUUUUUUUUUUUUAUACACUCAAGGAGGGGGUGCACACACUUAAUUGAUGGCCAUUGUAGAACAGAUUUGGGGCUUAGGGUUAGGAAGGAUUUGUCAUGAUUAUACGGAGAGCCUUUUCGGGUCAAUAGUUGAUUUGAUUGGAGUUUAAGAUCAAAAUAUUGACUCAAAUUGAUGAUUCUGGUUGCUUGAAAUUCAUGGAAACAGCGAUCCUAGAUAUAAUGAUAUAAAUCUAGGGUCAAAUUGGUGGGAAUUGAUUGAAAAUAUAUUUAAUUUAGGGUUUCAAUACUAUAAGAAAGAGUGGUGCAUGGUUGCAUUUGGCAAGAGUAGAGCACCAUGAUCGGUGCUGUUGGUUUGUGAAUACUGUAGCAACAGAACUUUGAGAAGGAUAGCGAGAAGCAAGAUAGGUGAAUCAACAAUGAUAAGUUCUUCAACAUCCCUUCAGUAAAAUAUCCAUUAAAAUCAAUUUUACUAGUCUGAAAAUACAAAAAAAAAAUAUCAAUAGGCAGACAGUGUUUUAUCAUAAUUGGACUAGGAAUUCUCAAUAUUUUUAGAUUAGAGAAAACCCCAGUUAUAUAAAUUUAGGACCACAUCAGAAGUCUGAAUAGAGUUACUAGAAUUGUAUAAAAUCCAAUGAGCCACAUAAACAAGGCCCAUCCUAGCUAAAUAUUAAAUUACUAAAAAUGACCCUGCAAAACAAAACUCCAAUAAACACUUUCACAUGUGGUGCAUGUGUAAAUUACUGUCAAAUGGGUGAACAUAUAUGUUAAAAGGAAAUGCUUGGCCAGAGUAAGAGAGAAUCAUUGGGGAGCUAUAAGAAAAAAAGAGAAUAUGCAUGGAUGCAACCCUUGAUAAAGGAGAAGAAAUACUUUGUCAAAAUUUGGGAAUGCAAAUAGAUCAUGAGGGUUCAAACCGAUGGUGUAGAAAGUUUGUAUGUCUUCAACUCUUUUCCCAUCAUCUUUUUCAAUAUAAAUACUUUGAUUUGUUUACUAUUUACUAAGACUGACGGCUUACGUAGUUGUGGACUCUGAGAAGUCGAAUUUACUUGUUCCCUUUAUUUCUCCAAAUAUAUUCUGUUAUUUGCACAUUGGAAGAGUUAUCCUCAGUGCAGCAUAUUUUGUAUUUCCUGGCAUGCCAUGAUUGUAUUUUUGUUUUUGCCUUGUUAGUGGUAUCAAUCCGUCCACCUCAUACUAGAUGUGUAGCAAUUAGAAUGAUUUUUUGCCUUUGAUUUUCAUUUUUCAUGACAUAUAUAACAUAUCCAUUAUUGCAAUUACACAGGCAUGAUGCUUUGCUUUUGUAUGGAUGUCGGUUUUGCCACUUUAUCAACUUGUUACAUUUUGCUUUACAUUUAUGUUAUUUAUACAUACUAAUAUGUUAAGCAGUAGUGACUUUGGUCUUUAUUGAGUUGGAAAACCAACUCAACUUUUAGUGAUUGAAAAUAAAUAAAAAGAAAAUUAAAGAAUCACAUGAAAAUAAAGGAUAAUUUUUUCUGUUCAAAUCAGAAUUGAACCUUCUUUCAUAGUUAUUUUACGCUUGGUAAUUUCAUUGGAGGUUAAAAUUGUAAAAUAGUGGAGCUACUACAUAGUACCGGGCUUCGGUCGCCUAAUGAGUUGUCCUGCUGCAGUGAAAUAUUUCCCUAUAAUGGUAGUAUUUGGUCCGAUCAUUUAGAUAAAAUUGACGAUUUGGGCAGUAGUGUUUUGACGGGCUUUUUUCGAAAAGCUAUUCUGCAUUUGAGGAAGACCUGUUACAUGCAAUCAACGUGUGAUUUUCAAGGGGCUGGCUAAUGACUUGGCUUUUCGAAUGUUGGCCGAAGAUGUGGCUGUGGGUCAGAGAAUUAAGGACCUGCUCAAGUCUUGGCCUGUCAUGUAAAGUAUAGAGAAUUAAGGACGACCUGAUUCUUCAGCGACGAGUUUCCCUGGAAGAAGUUGUGAUUUCUUGAAUUCAGUGAGGGAAAAAUGAAGCCAUCAAAUCCUUGUGAAGCGAAGAUGGGUAGAUGUAUAGAAAGCGUGCCGUUUAAUAGAUGAAUGACAUCUGUGCAGCUUUUCUCACUCAGGUCGCGAUUUGCUUUUACAAUGUUGAGAUCUGGAAGAAAACUUAUAGUGCUAUAUUUUACAAAUGAUUGGAAUUAAAUGAAUUUCACUUUAUCCCCUUCUUCAUUAUUCAAGUAUAUUUGCUCUAAUGCGUAUUGUUU
rnacentral:lncRNA from 1 species